CUUAUCAAGAGUGGUGGAGGGAACGGCCCUGUGAAGCCCGGCAACCUGCGUGCGCAAGGUGCCAAAUCCGGCGGUGAACGAAAGAUGAG
rnacentral:ncRNA from 1 species